rnacentral:rRNA from 1 species
GACGAACGCUGGCGGCGUGCUUAACACAUGCAAGUCGAACGGUAAGGCCCCAGCUUGCUGGGGUACACGAGUGGCGAACGGGUGAGUAACACGUGGGUGACCUGCCCCGCACUUUGGGAUAAGCCUGGGAAACUGGGGCUAAUACCGGAUAGGACCGCACCGUGAGGGGGGGGGGGAGGUUAUUUCGGUGUGGGGUGGGCCCGCGGCCUGUCAGCUAGUUGGUGGGGGAAUGGGCUACCAAGGAGGCGACGGGUAGCCGGCCUGCGGGGGUGGAUGGCCCCAUUGGGCCUGGGUCACGGCCCAGACUCCUACGGGAGGCGGCAUUGGGGAUUUUUGCACAAUGGGCGGAAGCCUGAUGCAGCGACGCCGCGUGGGGGAUGCCGGCCUUCGGGUUGUAACCUCCUUUCCCCAUCGCCGAAGGUUUUCUGCCGGUAUAUGUAGAAGAAGCACCGGCUACCUCCGU